rnacentral:rRNA from 1 species
GUGCCAGCCGCCGCGGUAAUACCGGCAGCACAAGUGAUGGCCGAUUUUAUUGGGCCUAAAGCGUCCGUAGCUGGCCGAGCAAGUCCGUCGGGAAAUCCAGUGGCUCAACCUCUGGGCUUUCGGCGGAAACUGUUCGGCUUGGGACCGGAAGACUCGAGGGGUACGUUCGGGGUAGGAGUGAAAUCCUGUAAUCCUGAACGGACCACCGAUGGCGAAAGCACCUCGAGAGCACGGAUCCGACAGUGAGGGACGAAAGCUAGGGUCUCGAACCGGAUUAGAUACCCCUGUAGUCC